GAAAGAUUAGUUAAAUUUAUAACAUUAACGUGUCAAGUUAGAAUUAUUACACAGUAAUAUCUUUUU
rnacentral:tRNA from 1 species